AUGCUCACUUGGGCAGCACAUGUACUACAAUCGGAAUGAUACAGAGAAGAUUAGCAUGGCCUCUGUGCAAGGAUGACAUGCAAAUUCAUGAAGCAUUCCAUAUUUAA
ensembl:snRNA U6 U6 spliceosomal RNA